ensembl:lncRNA
GCUUUAGGGUCUGCUUCUGGGGAACCCAAACUGAAAUACUACAUAUACCAAGUUAACUAAUCCAUUCAUCAAAUAAAUACUGAAUAUUUUCUCUGUGCUUGGUACGUUGUUCAACACUGAAGAUACAGCACAAACCAGUCCGACAUCGUCCCUCUUCUCAUGGAGGGUGUUUAAGCAGGGAAUAAAGGCAUUUUCAAACUACAAGUGAGAUGAGUGUUAUAACGGAGUGGGUGAGGGAAGGCCUUCCUAAGGAUGAGAUCUAAGGAAUAGGAAGGAUUUAGCCAGGUGAAGAGGGUGGGGAAAAUGUUACAAGCACGUGGACCCACUCCAAAAUAAGGGCUAACAUGGUACUUUGGGGAAUUGAGAGAAAUCCAUACGGCUCUGCAGGAAGGAUCAGAGGAGACUAGCUGUGCUAGGUACUUACACCUCCCUUCAAGGAAGGACUUGGUGUCCAGCUGCACAGUGUGCGGUCAGCAGUCUACAGCUGUUCAGCUCCUUCAGGUGUUGAUCCUUAAUGAAAAUCUUGCUCCUUAAACUCUGUGUUAGAAUCAGCUCCUGGUGGAUCCAACUCCAACAGCAGAGGAACAGGAAGACUUUGUGUCAUGUGUGAUAAUAUCAUGAGGUUUCUCCUCAGAUGUGAAGGAGGUGAGGGUCCCUGUAGCCUAAUAGGGAUGGACUACAAGUCCAGUGAGCGAGAGAGCAACUUUGGAGUCUUCACUGAAGGAUCUGCAGGAAUGUGAUGACGACCAGGCAGAGGGUCCAUACUGAUAGUCAUCAUCAAUGACAACUGUCUGCAUCAAUGACAUGGCAACUUCCUCUCCAGAGUCAUGGUGGCAAGACACAAAUGACUCUAUUUCAUUUGAUGGUCCCCCUAUACUGACCCAAUCAGCAGGAAGUAGUCAGAAAGACAAGGAUGACCCUGUUCCUCUUAUAGCAUAUGAUUAUGUUGGGUUACAAUUGACAGUGAGGAGUUGUCGGCGCCACUCACAUGAACAGUCAUCUUUCCUAUACAUAUUAAAGAUUUUGUUCUUGUUAUCUUUAAACGAAAUCAGGUAUAAGGCAUUGCUCUGGUCUCUGAUGCUUAUCCAGUAAAACAGAAGAUUAUCAGGAACUGAGACCAGAUGUCUGCCCCACCUGGAGACCAGCCUCUUAUAUAACUGGCUUGUAGUCUUUGUUCUGUGAGAUGGUUUUUCCAGACAUUAGUCAGCCAUCUUCCCCCUUGCUGGCAAGCUGUAAUAAAACCCUUUCUCUCCUACCACCUUGCUUCUCCACUAUUGGUGUGUCUUGAGGCUGGCAGAUGACCCACCCUGGGCAGUAACAAAUUGAAUUUCCACACCAUGACUUUUUCCAGGGACCCGAUUUUCUUGGAGGAAGAUAAAAGAGGGAUACGCUUGUGCUUUCCAUAAAACUGAAACGUACUGAAAUGUUUUAAAGUAAAUUUAAAAUUGACAUUUUAUAUUUUUACUAUCACAAUUAUUGAUUUUUGUUUUUUACUUUUUUAUUUAUUGGCCUAUUAAAAUUGAUUUCUAUUUCCUCUUUUGAGGAAGAGAAAUAUAUAGGGGAAAAAACAACAGAAGGGUACUAGAAUAUUUUGCUGGCUAUCUGAGACCUUUGGCCACUGUUUGGAAAUUGUUGAUCUAUCACAAAUACGUGUAAAAUCUAAGGACUACCUUAUUAGAGAUAUGUACUGAGUAUUCAUGGGUGAAAGGAUACAACGUCUAGGAUUUGCUUUAAAAUCCUGCCACAAAAAAUGGUGGAGGAGGAAAGGUGAAAUGAGUUUGGCAAAAUAAAAUGUUGAUAAUUGUUGAAAGUGGGUGAUGGGAGCCUGGGGUUUAUUAUACUAUAUUACCUUUGUAUGUUUAAACAUGUCUACAAAUUAAAAUCUGAGGAGUUGGCUUAUAUUCUCAGCUUUCCCACUAAGUGGAUAGGAAAUCAUAUUCAAAGCACUUCAAUAUUCUGUGCCUUAAUUUUUACAAAUGGUCAUAUUGCAAGUAAUCAAUCAGCUAGUAAUUAUUGAGCUAGGCUUACUGUGUAGGUAGCAUUCUGAUGUUACUAUCUAAAUUCUCAGGGAUGUUGUCAGAUUACUGCAAAGUAUAAUAUACUUUAAAAAACUAAAACCUCUUUUCAAGUAUUAUCACAAAAUCCAUUGUUGAAAUUCUUUGAGUACAAAUGCUUGGUGCACAGAUCUUUGGUAAAUGAAGUUUCCUGAAGACCUGUUUUUAUGUGUGUUUAAGAAUACAUAUUUAGGUUAGGUAUCUGCUGAGAUAGCAGCUGCUCAGACUCCUAUGUGAGAAUAGGACAGGAAAAAAAAGUAAUAUGUUACACAUCUUGGCUCCUUUUGUGUUUCUGAGGAAAAAUCAAAGCAACCUUUAAGAUUUCUAAAUACUAUCUGUGUCUACUACAUGGUGAUAUAAUUUAAUUUGGACACUUUUGCAGUCAAUUCCCCAAAAGGCAGGUAAAUAGAGAAGGAAAAACUUAAAAGUUAAGAAUAUGCAAGCUUGUGUGUCUGUUGCUGUGUAUGCACAAGCAUAAACGAUUAGAAAAUUUGGAAUACAAUCCUGGCAUGGUUGUGUGGCAUACUGCCAGAAUGGGGAGAUGAUGUCCCCCUUAUUAUUUGUGGACUUGAAGCCAUGGCAUGCUUCAGGGCCAGAAAUGGCCUGUGGCCUGAAGCUCUAGGGACUGGAAUAUGUGACCAUGAGCCUGGCCAAGGAUGGAGUGGUUUACUGCACAUUCCUGACUGACACCAAAGA